UCCGGAAGCAGAGCGUGCGCUGAUUGGCCGGCGGGGCGGGGAGGCUGUUUGAAAUAGGGCAGUGCGCGCUGAGUCGCGGGGUGCGAAGGGCCGCGGGUUCGAAUCCAGCGGCAGCCGGGAGGGAACCUCGGUAUUUUUUCUUGUCUGCACGAAGUUCUGUUCUGCUGCUAACAGAUGAGACCUCUCCAAUGGUUUAUGCCAUAAAACUUAGGACUGCGGUGAUUCCAGUUCUUGGCAGUAUUGCAGUUUGGGACUCAACUUUCUUCCUCCAUUCCAAGCAAAGGCCCUCCCAGCACCUGAUUUUAGAAGGUUUUCGUCUUUGCCUGGGAAAUACCUGCUAUCAAAGCUGCUGCGCACAGCAAAAAUAAGGAUGGAAGACUCAGUGCUAAACACAGACGGGUAUCCAUAACUCCACCAGCUCUACAAGCAGAUGAAAGCCCACAGCGCGGGCUCCGCCGCCAUCAAUACAUGACCUGCUUUGGCAGGGGGGCUGG
ensembl:lncRNA